CUCAGCCUCUCCUCACAGGGCUGUGCUCCAGGUCCCUCCCCAGCCUUGCUGCCCUGCUCUGGACACUUCUCUGGACAUCCCACUCCUUGCCACUAGACACAAGCCACCAGGCAGGUGGCUUCACCACCUCAGCUUCAACUCCUCAACUCCCAACCACUACUGAGGGUUGCAAGAAACAACAAACCACAAGUCCCAGGUCAAUCCUUUCUCCUGGAGCAGCCUCCAACAUCCAGCAUCCAGCAGAUGUGACUGAAAGCACUUUGGAAAUGUCAGCUGCUGCUGGAGAGGGACCCAGAUAACAUUUAGCUUUAGCACAUCCCAGGGUCGGAGGCAGCUGAUGGAAAGCAAACAAGCAAAGCUUCCUCUUGUGUGCCGUGGAGCAAGGAUUUGGGAACUUUUGGGGCU